ACAACCAGCUAGGGGCGCCUGAUUUUCAGGCUGAGAGAGACCCUUACCACCUGAUCCGGUUAAUGCCGGCGUAGGGAAGCUGAACGCACCGACA
rnacentral:ncRNA from 2 species